AUUGAACGCUGGCGGCAUGCCUUACACAUGCAAGUCGAACGGUAACGGGCCUUCGGGUGCCGACGAGUGGCGAACGGGUGAGUAAUGUAUCGGAACGUACCUUUCAGUGGGGGAUAACGUAGCGAAAGUUACGCUAAUACCGCAUAUUCUGUGAGCAGGAAAGCAGGGGAUCGCAAGACCUUGCGCUGAUUGAGCGGCCGAUAUCAGAUUAGCUAGUUGGUGAGGUAAAGGCUCACCAAGGCGACGAUCUGUAGCGGGUCUGAGAGGAUGAUCGGCCACACUGGAACUGAGACACGGGCCAGACUCCUACGGGAGGCAGCAGUGGGGAAUUUUGGACAAUGGGGGCAACCCUGAUCCAGCCAUGCCGCGUGAGUGAAGAAGGCCUUCGGGUUGUAAAGCCCUUUCGGCCGGGAAGAAAUCGUAUCAGCUAAUACCUGGUGCGGAUGACGGUACCGGCAUAAGAAGCACCGGCUAACUACGUGCCAGCCGCCGCCGUAAGAC
rnacentral:rRNA from 1 species